UUUUCAGAAGACAAGGAACAUGACACAGUAUUUUUCUGGAUUUCCAGAAGACAAGGACCAGGACCACAGCAAACAUCCUGAGUUGGAAGACAAAAGUACUGAUGCAACCAUGGAAGGGGUGGAAGGUAUUUUACUACCUAUAUUAAUUACUGGAAGGUGUGAUUUUGCUGGAAGGUUCUACUUGGUACUGAUUGCCAUACCUACACU